UACGUAGGGUGCAAGCGUUAAUCGGAAUUACUGGGCGUAAAGCGUGCGCAGGCGGUUAUGUAAGACAGUUGUGAAAUCCCCCGGGCUCAACCUGGGAAUUGCAUCUGUGACUGCAUAGCUAGAGUACGGUAGAGGGGGAUGGAAUUCCGCGUGUAGCAGUGAAAUGCGUAGAUAUGCGGAGGAACACCGAUGGCGAAGGCAAUCCCCUGGACCUGUACUGACGCUCAUGCACGAAAGGCGUGGGGAGCAAACAGG
rnacentral:rRNA from 1 species